rnacentral:rRNA from 1 species
AACGAACGCUGGCGGCGCGUCUUAAACAUGCAAGUCGAACGGCAGGAAGGGGCUUGCCCCUUCUGAGAGUGGCGGACUGGUGAGUAACACGUGGGUGACAUACCUUUUAGUUGGGGAUAGCUAUUAGAAAUAGUAGGUAAUACCGAAUGUGACCGUACCUGUUAGAGGGGUACGAGGAAAGGAGCUAAGGCUUCGCUAAAAGAAUGGCUCGCGGCCCAUUAUGCUCGUUGGUGAGGUAACGGCCCACCAAGGCGAUGAUGGGUAUCCGGCCUGAGAGGGUGAACGGACACAUUGGGACUGAGAUACGGCCCAGACUUCUACGGGAGGCAGCAGUUAAGAAUAUUACGCAAUGGACGAAAGUCUGACGGAGCGACGCCGCGUGGAUGAAGAAUGCCGAAAGGUUGUAAAAUCCUUUUAAGCCUGAUGAAUAAGCACAGUAGGGAAUGAUUGUGCGGUGACCGUAGGGCUUGAAUAAGCACCGGCUAAUUACGUG